rnacentral:lncRNA from 1 species
GCCUGAGGCUCGAGUCGCGGCGCCUGGGGCGGUGGCCGCCGGACCAAAGCUGGCCUCUCCCGGCUCCUCCUCCUCGCUCCCCAAGGCCUUUCCCACCGCGUCAUUGUCUCGGUUUAUCUGCAGAUACGUCUACCUAGCAGUCAGCCCAGCAGCCUGGCAGUUCAGAGCUCCGCAUCCCCAGGCCUCUGAGUCACAGUUCCUGCCUUCAUGAAACUAGGAGUUGGGGCCACUGCAUUCUACUCCUUCGGGACUAUUGUUUCAUUUCUCAGUCCCUCAAACCCUUUAUUGGAUGAACAUGGGGUUAGGACAGCGGUUCUCCACUGCAACAGUUUUGCCUCCCAGGAGACAUUUGGCAAUGUAUGAAUCAUUUUCAGCCUCUCAUCUGGGGUGAGAUGUCAUUGGAAUCUACAGAUGGUGGAGGGCACAGGUGUUUAGAGGUCUACUAACCCAGGACCACUUUAACGCGGUAGCUGCAGGCUUUGAGAAUCAUCAGCUGAUGUGAAUUUGGGCAGAACACCCAG